AGGGGCGUAGCCAAGCGGUAAGGCAGCGGAUUCUGAUUCCGCCAUGCGUUGGUUCAAAUCCAGCCGCCCCUG
rnacentral:tRNA from 1 species